GAGACACCCUUCUGGGGCAAGACUUGCUUCAGUGGGACUUUGGUGCUCACUGAGUCUGCUCCCUGAGUGUGUCCCU
rnacentral:pre_miRNA from 1 species